GGAAAGGAACAAUCCACUCAGGACAGUCAACAGCAUCCUCCAGAUGGAACUUGUAUUUGAUGCCAAAAGGAUUUGAAGAUUUGAAUUUCUUCUCUGAAAAUUCUUCAUCAAAACGUAUCCAAUAGACACUAUUACCAAAGGCUAGCCCCUCAGCUUCUCUAUACUUCUUGACGAUGACAUUGGCAUCUGGCAUUGUUCCAAUAAAUAUUCCUCCGGGUCGGAGUAAAACUGAGAUGUUGGCCAGCGCACGUCGUGCACGUGCC
rnacentral:misc_RNA from 1 species